rnacentral:lncRNA from 1 species
UAGGAGAGCAAAGCCUUGAAACUGGAUCCUCAGUAAUGGAGGUAGGCAAUUUUAUCCCACAUCCUCUCCCUAAAGGGAGAUUGUUGCUUCUGAGAAAAUCAGAAAAUUGUUUUCCUUCCACCUAUACUAACCAGAAGACUGAAGUGUUUUUCAUGCUGCUUAUUGGAGAAGGCCAAAGAUCUUCUUCUGCAGUGAAAAGGGGCAUCCUAGGCCCAUGUCUUGAAGCACAGUGCAC